UGCAAGUCGAACGCGAAAGUCCCCUUCGGGGGAUAAGUAGAGUGGCGUCCGGGUGAGUAACACGUAGGUAAUCUACCUUCGGGUGGGGAAUAACCCAGGGAAACUUGGGCUAAUACCGCAUAAUGCAGCGGCACCACAUGGUGACAGUUGUUAAAGCGGGGGAUCUUCGGAUCUCGCGCCUGGAGAGGAGCCUGCGGCAGAUUAGCUAGUUGGUAAGGUAAUGGCUUACCAAGGCGACGAUCUGUAGCCGGCCUGAGAGGGCGGUCGGCCACACUGACACUGACAUACGGGUCAGACUCCUACGGGAGGCAGCAGUCGGGAAUUUUGGGCAAUGGGCGAAAGCCUGACCCAGCAACGCCGCGUGAAGGAUGAAAUCCCUCGGGAUGUAAACUUCGCAAGAAUGGGAAGAAUUAGUAGGGGUUAAUACCCUCUAUGAUGACGGUACCAUUUGUAAGCUCCGGCUAACUCCGUGCCAGCAGCCGCGGUAAUACGGGGGGAGCAAGCGUUGUUCGGAUUUACUGGGCGUAAAGGGCGCGUAGGCGGUCAGCACAAGUCAGUUGUGAAAUCUCCGGGCUUAACUCGGAAAGGUCAACUGAUACUGUGCGACUAGAGUGCGGAAGGGGCAACUGGAAUUCUCGGUGUAGCGGUGAAAUGCGUAGAUAUCGAGAGGAACACCUGCGGCGAAGGCGGGUUGCUGGGCCGACACUGACGCUUAUGCGCGAAAGCCAGGGGAGCGAACGGGAUUAGAUACCCCGGUAGUCCUGGCCUUAAACGAUGGAUGCUUGGUGUCUGGAGUUUUAUAGUCUCCGGGUGCCGUA
rnacentral:rRNA from 1 species